rnacentral:rRNA from 1 species
GACGAACGCUGGCGGCGUGCUUAACACAUGCAAGUCGUACGGUAAGGCCCUUUCGGGGGUACACGAGUGGCGAACGGGUGAGUAACACGUGAGUAACCUGCCCACAACUUUGGGAUAACGCUAGGAAACUGGUGCUAAUACUGGAUAUGUGCCCCUGCUGCAUGGUGGGGGUUGGAAAGCUCCGGCGGUUGUGGAUGGACUCGCGGCCUAUCAGCUUGUUGGUGGGGUAGUGGCCUACCAAGGCGGCGACGGGUAGCCGGCCUGAGAGGGUGACCGGCCACAUUGGGACUGAGAUACGGCCCAGACUCCUACGGGAGGCAGCAGGGGGGAAUAUUGCACAAUGGGCGCAAGCCUGAUGCAGCAACGCCGCGGGCGGGAUGACGGCCUUCGGGUUGUAAACCGCUUUCAGCAGGGACGAAGCUUUUUGUGACGGUACCUGCAGAAGAAGCACCGGCUAACUACGUG